rnacentral:rRNA from 1 species
UACCUUGACUGUGCAAAGGUAGCAUAAUCACUUGUUUUUUAAUUGGAGACUGGUAUGAAAGAGUUGACGAGAUAUAAGCUAUUAUAUAUCAGUGUUUAACUUGACAUGAAGAUAAAAAGGUCUUUUUGUUCUAGGGGGACGAUAAGACCCUGUGAAAUUUUAUUUAGCAAAACUAAUAUUAAGAUUUAUAGGAGUAUAAAUUUAACUGGGGCGGUUUAUAUAAUAACUAUUCUAAAUUUAAUACUAAAUGUAAUUUUUUAGAACACUUAUAUGUAAUUUUGAAUAAAUUACUCCAGGGAUAACAGCAUUAUUUUCUUGGAUAGAUCUUAUUGGUAAGAAAGUUUGUGACCUCGAUGUUGAAUUGGGGCUACCUAUUUAAGCAAAA